UUAUAUAUACUAUCAUUAACAAAAUUUACACACACAUAAACACCCUUUGAUUGCAUCCAUCGUACAACUGUUACAGAAGGGCACACGGGCCCUGCUUCCCGGUCUCUCUGGCUGGCUUAAUGAGGUGCACCCAGCUCCAGCUAUUGUGCUGCACGAAAAGAGAGGAAAGAGAAGGCACCGAUAUUAGCAGCUGCGAGACGCAAGAACCAGCAAGCUUACAGCCAUGACUCCAAGAGGAUUGUGUGCCUUUGGAAGUAUUUUACUGAAACGAAAUCAUCAAUCACUGGAAAAUUUGAGGCAGGGCUAGUGAACUUAGAUGGGGCUUUUCUCAUGGGUUAUCACGGUGGUGGUGGUGGUGAGAUUCUUUAGCCCAGGCUUCCUCAGUUCUGCGCCCUGCAAAGCAGUUUUGAAAAAUUAGUCUAAAAAGCAUGACAAAGCACUAUGAGGUUGCCAUGGAUUCAAUGAAAGGAGCCUAUUAGCAUGGAAAGGACCUUAGAAGUCAUCUAAACCAACUCUAGAAUCUUACAGAUGAGGAUCCGGAGAAUCAGAGAGGUUAACUGAUUGGCUCAAAGUCACACAG